UCCCUUAAUACCUAAACUUAACAACUACCUUACUAACUAUUAAUAAGCAGUAAUUAGGGGUUUAUUGAGGCAAAAGUCGUAGAUAAUAGUGAGAAUUGGACCUUUAUAUAAAGUGACCAAUAUAGGAAGGAAAACACAAACACAACUUCCUUUUCACAGCGACUUUGCACAGCUUCAGUAGACUCUUAAUACAAGGGAUUCUUUUUUGACAGGUUAAUUUAUUAAGAGCGUUUUGGAUAUUUUUAAAACACCUCCCUUUUUUUUCAUUAUAGGAGAGAAAAUCAAAUGGGUUUGGUACAACAUGAUGGCACAACUAUCAUUAUUGUGUGAACUAUCCCUUUAAAGUAAAGAUGAGACGACGUCCUUACUGUCGACUGUGAGUGUUGACGGGAAAGCUUCAUUUUAAGUCUUCCAUCAGCGGCCGCUGCACCUCCGGGGAAGAUGGUCUUCACGUAAAUCCCCAUCGGGCCGUACAUGCUGUCUCUGCCUCCGACUAUACUGAAUCCCAGGCCCUGGAGUCCCACGAGAGGACGAUGUUGGAGAUGAUGAAGGCCUGUACGCUACUGCAGGAGGGGACCAAGUGUGCUGAACUCAGAGAGCGAGAUGGUCUAACCACAGCCUGCAGAGACCGAGGAGAGCACAGAUAAUGUGAGCGGUUCAGAUCACAUGAUCCGGUCACCCUCUCUCACCUGUGGAAUGCUGUGAGGGAAUUCCAGCUGUUGAGAGAGAGACUUCCUGUUGCCGUAAAACCCUGCGGUGGCGUGGGCGUGACACGGGAACAGCUCUGGC